rnacentral:rRNA from 1 species
AUUGAACGCUGGCGGAAUGCUUUACACAUGCAAGUCGAACGGCAGCACGGACUUCGGUCUGGUGGCGAGUGGCGAACGGGUGAGUAAUGUAUCGGAACGUGCCCAGUCGUGGGGGAUAACGUAGUGAAAAUUACGCUAAUACCGCAUACGAUCUAUGGAUGAAAGCGGGGGGUCGCAAGCCCUCGCGCGAUUGGUGCGGCCGAUAUCAGAUUAGGUAGUUGGUGGGGUAAAGGCCCACCAAGCCAACGAUCUGUAGCUGGUCUGAGAGGACGACCAGCCACACUGGAACUGAGAUACGGUCCAGACUCCUACGGGAGGCAGCAGUGGGGAAUUUUGGACAAUGGGCGCAAGCCUGAUCCAGCCAUUCCGCGUGCAGGAUGAAGGCCCUCAGGUUGUAAACUGCUUUUGUACAGAACGAAAAGGUUUCUACUAAUACUAGGAGCUCAUGACGGUACUGUAAGAAUAAGCACCGGCUAACUUCGUGCCAGCCGCCGCGGUAA